rnacentral:rRNA from 1 species
AGAGUUUGAUCCUGGCUCAGGACGAACGCUGGCGGCGUGCUUAACACAUGCAAGUCGAACGGUGAAGCCCCUUCGGGUGGAUCAGUGGCGAACGGGUGAGUAACACGUGGGCAAUCUGCCCUGCACUCUGGGACAAGCCCUGGAAACGGGGUCUAAUACCGGAUAUGACCUGGGACCGCAUGGUUCUGGGUGGAAAGCUC